UGAGGAAUAUUGGUCAAUGGGCGUAAGCCUGAACCAGCCAAGUCGCGUGAAGGAUGACUGCCCUAUGGGUUGUAAACUUCUUUUGUAAGGGGAGAAUAAAUUCUACGUGUAGGAUGAUGACAGUACCUUACGAAUAAGCAUCGGCUAACUACGUGCCAGCAGCCGCGGUAAUACGUAGGGGGCAAGCGUUGUCCGGAAUUACUGGGCGUAAAGAGCACGUAGGCGGUAACCUAAGUCAGAUGUGAAAGACCAGGGCUUAACUCUGGGGUUGCAUACGAAACUGGGUAACUAGAGUGCAGGAGAGGAAAGUGGAAUUCCUAGUGUAGCGGUGAAAUGCGUAGAUAUUAGGAGGAACACCAGUGGCGAAGGCGGCUUUCUGGACUGUAACUGACGCUGAGGUGCGAAAGCCAGGGGAGCGAACG
rnacentral:rRNA from 1 species